rnacentral:rRNA from 1 species
GAGGAAUAUUGGUCAAUGGGUGCAAGCCUGAACCAGCCAUCCCGCGUGAAGGACGACUGCCCUAUGGGUUGUAAACUUCUUUUGUAUAGGGAUAAACCUACCCUCGUGAGGGUAGCUGAAGGUACUAUACGAAUAAGCACCGGCUAACUCCGUGCCAGCAGCCGCGGUAAUACGGAGGGUGCAAGCGUUAUCCGGAUUUAUUGGGUUUAAAGGGUGCGUAGGCGGCCCUGCAAGUCAGCGGUGAAAUGUGGCGGCUCAACCGUUUCGCUGCCGCUGAUACUGUAGGGCUUGGAUGCGGUCGAGGCGGGUGGAAUUCGUGGUGUAGCGGUGAAAUGCAUAGAUAUCACGAGGAACGCCGAUAGCGAAGGCAGCUCGCCGGGCCGCGAUCGACGCUGAGGCACGAAAGCGUGGGGA